UUGAGUUUAAAGGCGCCCGUACCGUAAACCGACACAGGUGGGUGAGGAGAGUAUCCUAAGGCCAGCGAGAGAACUAUUGUUAAGGAACUCGGCAAAAUGACCCCGUAACUUAGGGAGAAGGGGUGCCUGUCUAUGACAGGCCGCAGAGAAUAGGCCCAAGCGACUGUUUACCAAAAACACAGGUUUCUGCUAAGUCGUAAGACGAUGUAUAAGAGCUGACGCCUGCCCGGUGCUGGAAGGUUAAGGGGAUCUGUUAGAGCAAUCGAAGCAGUGAACUUAAGCCCCAGUAAACGGCGGCCGUAACUAUAACGGUCCUAAGGUAGCGAAAUUCCUUGUCGGGUAAGUUCCGACCCGCACGAAAGGCGUAACGAUUUGGGCACUGUCUCAACAAUAGACUCGGUGAAAUUGUAAUCCCGGUGAAGAUGCCGGGUACCUGCGACAGGACGGAAAGACCCCAUGGAGCUUUACUGUAGCUUGACGUUGGGUCUUGGUACUACAUGUACAGAUAGGUGGGAGACUAUGAAGCAUGGACGCCAGUCUGUGUGGAGUCAUCCUUGGGAUACCACCCUUGUAGUACUGGGAUCCUAACCAUAGGCCUUGAAUCAGGUCUUGGAACACCGUCAGGUGGGCAGUUUGACUGGGGCGGUCGCCUCCUGAAAAGUAACGGAGGCGCUCAAAGGUUUCCUCAGCACGGUCGGAAAUCGUGCGAAGAGUGUAAAGGCAAAAGGAAGCUUGAUUGCAAGACAUACAGGUCGAGCAAGGACGAAAGUCGGACUUAGUGAUCCGGUGGUACCGCAUGGAAGGGCCAUAGCUCAACGGAUAAAAGCUACCCUGGGGAUAACAGGCUUAUCUCCCCCAAGAGUCCACAUCGACGGGGAGGUUUGGCACCUCGAUGUCGGCUCAUCACAUCCUGGGGCUGUAGUAGGUCCCAAGGGUUGGGCUGUUCGCCCAUUAAAGUGGUACGCGAGCUGGGUUCAGAACGUCGUGAGACAGUUCGGUCCCUAUCCGUCGCAGGCGUAGGAAAUUUGAGAAGACCUGUCCUUAGUACGAGAGGACCGGGAUGGACGUACCUCUGGUGUACCAGUUGUUCUGCCAAGGGCAUGGCUGGGUAGCUAUGUACGGAAUGGAUAAGCGCUGAAAGCAUCUAAGCGCGAAGCCAACUUCAAGAUAAGAUUUCCCACCGUAAGGGUAAGACCCCAGGAAGACUACCUGGUUG
rnacentral:rRNA from 1 species